UGGGGCAUAGCUCAGCGGUAGAGUAGGUGACUGUUAAUCACUUGGUCGCAGGUUCGAAUCCUGCUGCCCCAGCCA
rnacentral:tRNA from 1 species